rnacentral:rRNA from 1 species
AUGCCACCGGAUAGAGACAUUGAGUUUUUGAUUGAGUUAUUACCAGGUACAGGCCCAAUAUCGAAGCGACCGUACCGGAUGCCAGCAAAGGAUUUGGUGGAAAUUAAGAAUCAGAUUAAGGAGUUAUUGGAUAAAGGUUACAUUCGCCCAAGUUCUUCGCCUUGGGGAUCACCCGUACUUCUAGUGGAAAAGAAGGAUGGAUCAUUAAGGAUGGUUGUUGAUUAUCGGGGAUUGAAUGAAGUAACCAUCAAGAACAAGUACCCACUGCCAAUGAUCAAUGAUCUGUUUGAUCGUUUGCAAGGAGCUAAAGUGUUUUCCAAGAUCGAUUUGCGAUCAGGGUACCAUCAAUUGAAGAUUCGAGAGCAGGACAUACCUAAGACAGCAUUCACCACAAGAUAUGGACUGUAUGAGUAUACCGUUAUGUCAUUUGGAUUGACUAACGCGCCUGCCUAUUUCAUGAACCUGAUGAACAAAGUGUUUAUGGAGUUUUUGGAUAAGUUCGUCGUAGUGUUCAUUGAUGACAUCCUAGUUUAUUCAAAGAAUGAAGAGGAGCAUAAGGAACAUUUGCGUUUGGUUUUGGAGAAACUAAGAGAACAUCAGUUAUACGCCAAAUUCAGCAAAUGUGAGUUUUGGUUGAAGGAAGUUGGAUUCCUCGGACACGUUAUAUCCGGAGAGGGUAUAGCAGUUGACCCCACUAAGGUUGAGACCGUAACCGAAUGGGAAUCACCAAUGACAGUUGGAGAGAUCCGGAGUUUUCUUGGACUCGCAGGAUACUACCGGAGAUUCAUUGAGAUUUUUUCAAAGAUUGCAAAGCCUAUGACUGAAUUGUUGAAGAAGGAUACUAAGUUCAAAUGGACUGAGGAGUGUGAGGCUAGUUUCCAGGAGUUGAAGAAACAUUUGGUUACCUCACCAGUAUUGAUUUUGCCAGAUCAGACCAAGGAUUAUGAGGUAUAUUGCGACGCUUCACGUCGAGGACUUGGAGCAGUGCUUAUGCAGGAAGGAAGAGUUGUUUCGUAUGCAUCACGACAACUG